AGUGAACGCUGGCGGCGUGCCUAACACAUGCAAGUCGAACGGAGUGGCGCACGGGUGUGUAAUAUAUAGCUAACUUGCCCAUUACUAAGGGACAACAGUUGGAAACGACUGCUAAUACAUUAUAGAAAUGGUUAGGGCUAUAUCGUAUCAGCUAGUUGGUAAGGUAACGGCUUACCAAGGCUAUGACGCGUAACUGGCCUGAGAGGAUGAUCAGUCACACUGUAACUGAGGCACGAUCCGUACUCCUUCCGCAUGGAGCAGUAGGGAAUAAUGCUCAAUGUGGGAAACCCUGAAGCAGCUACGCCUCGUGGAGUAUGACACUUUUCGGAGCGUAAACUCCUUUUAUUGGGAAAGCGGUACCCAAAGAAUAAGCACCGGCUAACUCCGUGCCAGCAGCCGCGGUAAUUC
rnacentral:rRNA from 1 species